GACGAACGCUGGCGGCGUGCUUAACACAUGCAAGUCGAACGGAAAGGGCCUGAUUUUGUGGGGUGCUCGAGUGGCGAACGGGUGAGUAACACGUGAGUAACCUGCCCUUGACUUUGGGAUAACUUCAGGAAACUGGGGCUAAUACCGGAUAGGAGCUCCUGCUGCAUGGUGGGGGUUGGAAAGUUUCGGCGGUUGGGGAUGGACUCGCGGCUUAUCAGCUUGUUGGUGGGGUAGUGGCUUACCAAGGCUUUGACGGGUAGCCGGCCUGAGAGGGUAACCGGCCACAUUGGGACUGAGAUACGGCCCAGACUCCUACGGGAGGCAGCAGUGGGGAAUAUUGCACAAUGGGCGGAAGCCUGAUGCAGCAACGCCGCGUGCGGGAUGACGGCCUUCGGGUUGUAAACCGCUUUCGCCUGUGACGAAGCGUGAGUGACGGUAAUGGGUAGAGAAGCACCGGCUAACUACGUG
rnacentral:rRNA from 1 species